rnacentral:rRNA from 1 species
CGAGGAUCUUCGGCAAUGGGCGCAAGCCUGACCGAGCGACGCCGCGUGUGCGAUGAAGGCCUUCGGGUUGUAAAGCACUGUCGAGGGGGAGAAAGCCGCAAGGUUGAUCGACCCCUGGAGGAAGCACGGGCUAAGUUCGUGCCAGCAGCCGCGGUAAGACGAACCGUGCGAACGUUGUUCGGAUUCACUGGGCUUAAAGGGCGCGUAGGCGGGUUUCCAAGUCGGGGGUGAAAUCCCACCGCUUAACGGUGGAAGUGCCUCCGAUACUGGGAGUCUGGAGGGAGGUAGGGGUGUGUGGAACUUCCGGUGGAGCGGUGAAAUGCGUAGAUAUCGGAAGGAACGCCGGUGGCGAAAGCGACGCACUGGACCUCUUCUGACGCUGAGGCGCGUAAGCCAGGGGAGCAAAC